GCACAACUGACGAGUCCCAAACAGGACGAAACAGCUGUCCAGUGC
rnacentral:hammerhead_ribozyme from 1 species